UUCACAAGGACAGAUGUGUUGCUGUGCUCUUUAGCAAAAAUACUCAACUUGGGACAUACAGGGUGAUGAAGUCUUGGCUAUGCUAAGGCUUGAGAAAAUGUAUGUAGGUCUCUAUGUCUGUCACCUGCGUGUAUCUAGGAAAGUGAGUUCUAGUGAAACUAAAGUUACCAAUGAGUCAAAAAAAAAAAAAAAGGCACGGUUGUCUGAAAAAUGCAAAAGCUCUAGUGGCCUGUGUCAACACCUGUACCGAAGAUGAUGCAAAAAUACUUUUUGCUCUGCUCAGUCGUACUGUCUUCACAAACCUUCACAAAAAAAGGCAGCUUUGGAUUCCUACCCAGUUUUAUGCUAAAGUUGUUUGUUUGUUUGUUUGUUUGUUUGUUUGUUUUUCCCCUCUCUCAGGUGGAUGUCAGCUGCCACCAUUUCACCGUGGUUGCCCUUUCUUCUGCCGUGAAAGUACAAGACAGAUGGAAAGAUUCCGUAGUGGUCUGCAAGUACAAGGUUUUCCCAGGAAGCAUCAGCAGCCUUGUAACUAGUGACAGUGAGUCCUGAGGUGGUUUUGGUGAGUUACUGCUUCAAUAAUGUAUUUUUAUUGGAUGUAUAUAAACAUGGGCACACCCUUUUAGUGUAAAGUGAAUUAUUGAGAUUUAUUCUUUAUUUUUCAUUUUGCUUUUUGAAGUUUUCCACUUCACUUUCAGCUUUAUUCACCAAACGAGCAAGAUGCAAAGCAGCAGCAGCAGCGCAAGGGCUGUAGCUGUUGCGGUGGAUCCGUAAGCGUAGAUUCUGAUUGCGUACGACCUCGUCCCGCAGCCUCCCAGGGUUAUCUCCCUGCAGCAGUGCUGUAAGGAAGGGAGGAGACGUUUUCCAACACCGGCGAGAGUGUUUACUUGUAUGCUAAGAAGGUGUUCAAAAUGGUAUCGAUUAGCCUGAAUGCUGAUUUUAAGCGUUCAAAUCGCUCUUAACUUUUAAAGGAGGUGGUGUAUUUCGAGCUGACCUGUUUACCUGGAAUCCUCCUUUAGCUCAGCGACUCUUCUUGUGCACCCCCAGCCUCCGCUGGCAGGGCGGUAUGAGAAGCUGGAAGGUCCUUGACUUAGUAUAAACACUGCUUAGCAACAACUAAA